UUUUGUUGUGUUUCAUUUAAUUUCUUUUCCAAGGAUAUCUAGUAAUCAGUCAGUAUAUAUGGAGAUUGAUUUUCUGAUAUUUUGCUAUCACCCUUCAUCUUCAAAGGGGACUGCAAGAAUUGCAUUCAUUUGUGGGAACCUACGUCUGGUACGACAUGGAAUGUUGAUGCUAAUCCCUUUGUCAGACAUACCGGAAGUGUUGAAGAUCUACAAUGGAGUCCCACAGAACCUUAUGUAUUUGCCUCUUGCUCUGUGGAUGGGAAUAUUGCAAUAUGGGAUAUUCGUCUAGGGAAGUCACUAGCAGCAUCCAUAAAGGCACAUAAUGUAGAUGUGAAUGUUAUCUCAUGGAACAGGCAUUUAUAAAGAUGGACCAAAGCGGAUCUUCUUAUCUGAAGAACCUUGGCAAGUGUUCAAUCUUCGUAAACAACAAGGAAAUAGUACCUAAACAGGUUGUAAACCUUACUUCAAGUUGUUUGAUUGAGGUAUGUUUUUACCUUCCUUGGACACUAGACUAAUCAAUUUUAUUUUUUAUUUUAUUUU